rnacentral:rRNA from 1 species
UUGACGGUACCCUACUAGAAAGGAGCCGCUAACUUCGUGCCAGAAGCGUCGGUAAUACGGGGGCUCCAAGCGUUAUCCGGUGUUAUUGGGCGUAAAGAGUCGUGUAGGUGGUUGGGUAAGUUAUCUUUCAAAUAUCUUUGCUUAACAAAGAGGAGGGGGAUAAUACUGCUCGACUAGAAUUUUCUCAAGGGAGAUCGGAACUGAGGGAGGAGUAGUGAAAUGCGUUGAUACCCUCGGGAACACCAGUGGCGUAGGCGGAUCUCUGGGAGAAGAUGGACACUGAGACACGAAAGCUAGGGGAGCGAAGCAGAUUAGAGACCUGCGUAGUCCUAGCCGUAGACGCAUGCUUGCUAGCUGCAUGAAUCUACCUUCGGGUGGUAUCGUGUGGCGAAGGUAACCCGUUAAGCAAGCCGCCUGGAAAGUACGGCCGCAAGGCUGAAAUUCAAAGGAAUUGGCGGAGAGGCACACAACCAGUGGAACAUGUGGUUUAAUUCGAGACUAACCGAAGAACCUCACCAGGGUUUGACAUGUAGCUGCACGUCUUAAGAAAUUAAGACUCUCUUGAAGGUGCUACACAGGUGCUGCAUGGCUGUCGUCAGCUCGUUCCGUGAGGAGUGCCCUUAAGUGGGACAACGAGCGCAACCCCUAUUACAUGUUAGAAAUGUCAUGUAAGACUGCCUUGCCAUUUGGCGGGGAGGAAGGAGGGGCAGACGUCAAGUCCGCAUGGUCCUUAUGCCCUGGGCUACACACAUGUUACAAUGAGUACGGCAAUGAGUCUGUCGCGAGCACGUAAGUGUAAGCUAAUCUCUUAAAUGUACUCUCAGUGGGGAUUGAGGUCUGCAACUCGACCUCAUGGACACGGAAUUGGUAGUAAUCGCGGGUCAGCUAUACCGACGGUGAAUACGUUCUUGCCUCUUGCACACACCGCCCGUCAAACCAGCAAAGU